rnacentral:rRNA from 1 species
AUUGAACGCUGGCGGCAGGCCUAACACAUGCAAGUCGAGGGACCGGCGCACGGGUGAGUAACACGUAUCCAUCCUGCCCUUUACUCGGGGAUAGCCUUUCGGAAGAAAGAUUAAUCCCAGAUGUAAAGGAUGGGGAUGCGUUCCAUUAGGUUGUUGGUGAGGUAACGGCCCACCAAGCCCUCGAUGGAUAGGGGUUCUGAGAGGAAGGCCCGCCACAUUGUAACGGAGACACAGACCAAACUCCUACGGGAGGGAGCAGUGAGGAAUAUUGUUCAAUGGGCGUUAGCCUGAACCAGCCAAGUAGCGUGAAGGAUGAAGGCUUAUGGGUCGUAAACUUCUUUUAUAGAAGAAUAGGUAUUAGAUGAAUAAGGAUCGGCUAACGCCGUGCCAGCCGCCGCGGAAAUAC